GUAUCAGUCUAACAGUAGACACAGACUUUUACAUUAACUGUAAACAUCUCACUGCUCUGUUUGAAAACAGCCUUUUGUCGCUGACUGUGAAAGGAUGAAGUGCAUUGUGGUCUUUCUCGUGUUGUCCGUGGUCAUUCUCAUGGCUGAACCUGCUGAUGGUUCCAAUGGAGGGCCAAAGAAAUUCAUCGUGCCUGGUUGCGAGAAGUAUUACGAGAAUCGUCAGCGUCGCUACAAAGAGGAGUUGAAGCAGAAGCAGGCGGGGCAGCAAUGGCUUGUAAAACGUGGUUGCUUCUUUCUACUUGGCUGAAACUACGUUUUGGAUGAAAUAAGACGCUUCUUGCGCUUCAAAAUGAGAAAGAAAAGUAUCUAUUAAGUGUGACAACCACUUCUUGACGAUACAAAUGUCUUGGUUUAAUGCACUGCAGAAUUUUGAUCAAAUUUGGUGGAUGGUCAGUUGUUCAGAAUAAAUAAGCAUCGCAGCAAAACUUUUUCUGUUGUUUUAUU